rnacentral:tRNA from 1 species
GGAGAGAUGGCAGAGCCUGGUUGAAUGCGCCGCACUCGAAAUGCGGUAUAUCUUAUUGAUAUCGGGGGUUCGAAUCCCUCUCUCUCCGCUA